rnacentral:rRNA from 1 species
AACGAACGCUGGCGGCAGGCUUAACACAUGCAAGUCGAACGAGAUCUUCGGAUCUAGUGGCAGACGGGUGAGGAACACGUGGGAACAUCCCUUUCAGUUCGGAAUAACGUUGGGAAACUAACGCUAAUACCGGAUACGUCCUUCGGGAGAAAGAUUUAUCGCUGAAAGAUUGGCCCGCGUCUGAUUAGCUAGUUGGUGAGGUAAUGGCUCACCAAGGCUACGAUCAGUAGCUGAUCUGAGAGGAUGAUCAGCCACAUUGGGACUGAGACACGGCCCAAACUCCCACGGGAGGCAGCAGUGGGGAAGAUUGGACAAUGGGCGCAAGCCUGAUCCAGCCAUGCCGCGUGAGUGAUGACGGCCUUCGGGUUGUAAAGCUCUUUUGUCCGGGAAGAUAAUGACUGUACCGGAAGAAUAAGCCCCGGCAAACUUCGUGCCAGCAGCCGCCGUAA